AUUGGACUCUCGGACUAGAAAGAAAGAAAAUGCAUUCUGGAGGUAGCAGAGGAGCAAGCAGUUCAGAUUAUGGUAAAUUACCAUACAUUUACAUAGCGUUUCUUGCUUUGUGGCUGCUGGCAAGCAGACAAAUCUCAAGAUGCCUGUAGGUAUCAGAGACAUUUGAAAACUAUUUGGAAGCUUUUGACAAUGGCUUUGCCUCAAGGACUACCUUUCAAUCUGUCUAAUAAAUCAAAAUUGUCCAGAAGAGCGGGGACUGCUGGCAGCAAG